CAGCAAAAGUGUCCUACCAAGCAGUGCGAUACUCGAGAAAAACUUCGACCAGCGAUAACCGUAAUCCUGAUGACAACCCUCGGAGUCCGGAAAGAGGAUCGCUGAGGCAAUCCAUCACACCGUCGCUCUUGGCGGUUUCCCUAUUGAUGUGGCGAAGAGGAUCCAGUUUUUUCGCCGGAUUUGUCCAUAGAAUCACCGGUGCCGGAAAUCGCCAUCUGGUGGAGUUCUGCGCCGGAAGGAUGAAUCUGGUCAACAAGAUGGUUCACCCGGAAAACCGGAAGAGGCUGGUCUACGUGUACCAGGCAGAAAACGGGUUGAUCCACAUUUGCUGGAAGAAUCGCACGACGGGAAACGUGGAGGACGAUCUGAUUGUGUUUCCAGACGAUGGCGAGUUUAAAAAGAUCGAGAACGUAAAUAAUGGGCGGGUGUUCCUGUUGAAGUUUAAGAGUUCGAGCCGUCGGCUGUUCUUCUGGAUGCAGGAACCGAAGACGGAUAAGGAUGAGGAGUGGUGCCGCCGUAUUAACGAGUUGAUCAACAAUUCGCCGUCGUCGAACAAUCUGGGAGAGAGAUCGGGACGCGGCGGAAAUGGAAGCGACAAUGGGGACCUGCAGUACAUCAUGUAAAACAUGUCCCAGCAGCAGCUGAUGCAGUUGUUUGGACGACCGAUGGGAGGAUUGUGCAGCUUGCUAGGGUGGAUGAGAUCGGUAGGAAAAACAUGGCUGAGGCAAUUUAAACACAUCCUUGAGUGCCUUCAGACUUGUGUUUUAUUUGGAAGGGUUCACUGCGGUUCCUCGGAUUCAUCAUCUGAAACGUCCUAGUUAUUAUGCUCCAUAAUUUAACCCAAGAUCAGUCGCAUGCGUGUACAGAGUACACGCACCCUGAGGAAAGGUCGAUUUUCAUAAACAACACGAGCGAGGUGGUGCUGGAGAUGGCUGAAUGCGUGACCGCUCUUGAGUUAAAUAAUUGUUUAGUACAAUAAAAAUGUAUAUAUUAUGCAAUAAAAAGUAAUUGAUGAUUGUCAUGACUCUGUA